GAAGUCGGCUGCUGGUUUCCAUGGUGAUGGCGCUGGACUGGUGGGCUGAACCGGCUGACAGGGUCGGGGACAGAAGGAAGAGCAGGUUUCUCACGGCAUGUCAGCCCAGGGCUCCCACAUGUGGCCUCCCACCCUCAUCUUCACACAUUCUCACACCUUCCGGAGUACAGAGGCGAGUGGGGUGCAGAUGGUCCUCCCUACAUCGGCCUCCUGCCCCCAACAGGAUUCCUCACAUCCCAGGACCAGCUGGAAAAGGUGGUGAGAGUUGGAAAGAGACUGCUCAGUGAGGACUGCCCUGCGAACCAGCUUGGAUUCAUCCCGUUCACCUCCACGUUCUGCACUCGGGGCCGAGGGAAGGGAGGCAGCCCAGGCAGCUAGAGAACUUGAUGAAACACACUCAAUCUGAAUCUCGCUUGAUCGUCAUGCUGACCCAGUGAGGCCUCUCCAGCCCCUGCUGGGACCACUGGCCCAGGAGGAAGUCUGGGCUCUGGCUGCCACCUGCUUCCUCUCAGGAGUUCUUCUCCCUCCCAAGCAUGGAUUUGCAUUUCCCCCUCUGCCUUCUGCUACUCAAGCCCCCAGGGAUGAGGUGACAGUUAACCCCCCACUUCCUGCUAGUGGCCCCAGAGCGCUCACUUCCUUCCAGGUAUUUUCCGGGAUGGGGGAAGGGGUUGAAAGGGUGGUAGUUGCUGGGUUUGGAAAGGGGAUGAGGGAUCCAUUUUGGAGAGAAACUGAGGUCCCCCUACCCUGCUGUCUGAAGCUGCUCCUUCCCUUCCCUCACGCUCACUCUGUAACACAAGAGCUCAGUUUGCAGGAAGAAGAGUGCAUAGGCCGGAAGCAGCACACAGGGGCUUUCAAAAUGGGCUAGGCCAGCUCUCUCUUAGAGGCCCAGGCCUCUAUCCGCCAUAGAUAGACCCCCAAGGAAAGUUCCUUGGACUUCAAGUUCCCUAUCGGGACAACAUAAUGUCUGCCCUCUACCCGGAAGGCAGAGGGUUGAGAAUGGGGGAGUGCCAAGGCAUAGAGGGGAAAUGUUUUCCAUCCUAUUUCUCAGAGGAUCUGGCAUGCUGGUACCAGCAGCACAAGGCAGAGUGUUCUCUGCACUCAGUUCCCGCUUCCUGGGAUCUUAUGGCAGAGAAACACAGCAUCUUUAGACAAGAGGUACUGAGCUAGGCAGUGUAGGACAUACAAAGUAGCAGCGACCCGCUCCUGAAGUCAAGCUGACCAGUCUCUGGGGCUCAGUCCUCUCCUCUAAAAAGUGAGGGGCUGGCCUAAGUCAUGACUCCCCCAGUCCUAAUGUUCUGUGGUCUGCCUUCACUCCUCUGUAGACUCUGCAUUUCACCUUCCCACUGGUGAAGGCCUCGAAACCCCAAGACUGAGGCAGGCAGCCAUGUGCUCUUCUCCCCAGUCUAAACCUUAUUGGUGCAACCUAUAGCAAUUUUUACCAAGUGUGGCUGUCUGUUCUCCUAGGUCAGACAAGACUGGAAGGGGGACAGCCACACAUGAGCAACAGAAGUGACAGCUGACAGGUUGCUAUGAAUCCAAGAGGUAGAAAAAGAGUCAGUCCCGGAACCAUUUCACCACAUGAUACAAAAAUGGAGGUUUACAACAAUGACUUUGAACCAAAUCAGGUUAAAUCACAUUCAGAAUCUUGUAUCCAAAUAGCAAGGAAGUAUAUAACACAUUUUUAAAAAUUUAAGCUAGGUGUAGUGGCACAUGCCUGUAGUCCCAGCUACUUGUGAGGCUGAAGCGGGAGAAUCUCUUGAGCCCAGGAAUUCAAGGCCAGUCUAGGCAACAUAGUGAGACCCUGUCUAAAAAAAAAGAACCACAGAAAAACAAACAAAAAAACAAAAAAAAAACCCAAACCAAACUUUAUCUUAUAAAAAACGAGAACAUAAAGAUUAAAAUUUUAAAAAAACCUUGGCCAGGCACAGUGGCUCACGCAUAUAAUCCUAGCCUUUUAGGAGGCUGAGGCCGAAGGAACACUUGAGGCCAGGAAUUUGAAACCCUGUCUCUACAAAAAAUACCAAAAAUACCCCCAAAAUGAGCUGGGUGGAGUGGUGCGCACCUGUAUUGUUAGAUACUCUAGGAGCUGAAGUGAGAGGAUUGAUUGAGCCCAGGAGCUGGAGGCUUCAGUGAGCUACAAUCGUGCCACUGCGCUCCUGCCUGGGAAACAGAACAAGACCCUGUCUUUGGAAAAAAAAAAAAAAAAAAAAAGCCCUGGUGCUUGAAGGAAAAUGUUUCUGUUUUGAUUCAGUUUUGAUGUAUUUAUGUAUGAUAUAUGUGGUGGAACACCUAUUACCAUUACCCAACAAUGCUGGAAGGAUGAAAUUCUUGUCACACCUAUCUAGAACUUACCUAGAGAUAGGCAACCUUGGAUAAUGACAAUUCCUUACAUAGUUUACAACUCUCAAAUUGCUUUUGCCUAAAUUAUUGUAUUUGAUUUUUUUUUUUUUUUUUUUGAGACAGGGUCUUGCUCUGUUGCCCAGGCUAGAGUGCAGUGGCACAACUGGGACUCACUGCACCCGUGACCUCCUGGGCUCAAGUGAUCCUCCUGCCUCAGCCUCCCAAGUAGUUGGGACUACAGGCGUGUGCCACCACGCCCAGCUAAUUUUAAAAAAAUUUUUAGUAGAGACAGGGCAUCGCCCUUUGCACAGGCUGAUCUCAAACUUCUGAGCUCAAGCAAUCCACCUGCCUCAGCCUCCCAAAAUGCUGGGAUUACAGGCGUGAGCCACCACACCCAGCCAAAGCAAACUUUUUAUUUGAAGUAUAACAGUGAACAAAUCCUAAGUAUAUAACAAUAUAUUUCCAGAAAGUGAACUGACCUACAUAACUAGCAUCAAGAUCAAGAUAAAAGGCCGGACGCAGUGGCUCAUGCCUGUAGUCCCAGCAGUUUGGGAGGCCGAGGUGGGUGGAUGGCUUGAGCCCAGGAGUUCGAGACCAGCCUGGGCAGCAUGACAAAACCCCGUCUCUACCAAAAUAUAAAAAUUAGCUGGAUGUGGUGGUGGAUGCCUGUAGACCCCGCUACUUGAGGCACUGAGGUGGGAGGAUCAACUGAGCCCAGGAGGUUGAGGCUGCAGUGAGCCAUGAUCAUGCCACUGCACUGCAGUCUGGGUGACAAAGUGAGACCCUGUCUCAAAAAAAAAAAAAAAAAGUGAAAGAAAAUAAAAGAAAGAAAGAAAGGGAAGGAAGGGAGAAAGAAAAGAAAGAAAAAGGAAGGAAGGAAGGAAGGAAAGAAAGAAACAAAAUAUAACCAGCACCUUAGGUGCUUCUCAUGCCCUCCUCCACCACCACCUAUCACAGCUAACCACGAUCCUGCCCUUAACAUCAUAGUUUUGUCAACUGCACUUCCUAGACAAGAAACUUCAUUUUAGAGGUGACUUGGGAAAGUCACAGGGUUGGUGGCUGGUGGAGGCAGCAGGGCCAGGACUCUGCCCUUAGUUAGAUACAUGUAUUUUCAUCGCACAAGUCUCAGUGUUCCAGUGGGGUGUGACGGUGCCAUCAUCAGUCUGCAGAUUGAGGGAGGUGAGGAGGAAAAAGAGAGGUUGGGAGGUGUGGGGCACACAGGUCAGCAGGUGCGUAAGAGCUGCUGGAGUGGAAUAGAAGAUGCAGCCAGGGGUAACUCAUGAAGGGCUAGACUGGUUUCCCAAUGCUCUGCACAGGAAUCCUUGAGUAAAUCCCAAGGAUCCCCUCCCUGGGCCAUUGCCCCACUGCCUCCAUCUCUUUGGCUAAUUUUAGACUUAGGGACUAGAGUGGUGGGAUUAGAGUGGUUGGUGGGCUCAACGUGUAGGGACAAUGUGUUGUAAUAACUUCACUCAGAAGAAAGCUAAUGCCUCACACUGGUUCUGUUGAACACUUAUGGAGGGAAAAAAACUUGCUGUGUUUGUGGACAACUAUGUCACAAACAGUUAGUAGCCCUAAACUUAGUGUGGACAUUAUAUUUCUUGAGCUGAGGCUCCACUACUUGAUUAUGGCUAAAACACUUUUAACUCUUUUCUUCCCCACCCCGAGACAGAGUCUUGCUCUGUCACCCUAGCUGGAGUGCAGUGGCACGAUCUUGGCUCACUGCAACCUCCGCCUCCCGAGUUCAAGCACUUCUCCUGCCUCAGCCUCCCAUGUAGCUGGGAUUACAGGCGCCCGCCACCACACCUGGCUAACUUUUUAUAUUUUUAGUAGAGACGGGGUUUCACCAUCUUGGCCAGGCUGGUCUUGAACUCCUGAUCUCAUGAUCCACCCACCUUGGCCUCCCAAAGUGCUGGGAUUACAGGCAUAAGCCACCGUGCCCAGUCAAGACACUUUAACUCUUUGAGUCUCAGUCUCCUCAUCACCAAAUAAGGAUGUUAACUAGUUCCAGGGUUUCUGUGAGAAUCAAAUGAGAUACUGGAUAUGAAAGCCCUUUGUCAACUGUAUUUGGGUUUGUUUUGUUGUUUUCUGAGACACGGUCUCACUCUGUCCCCCAGGCUGGAGUGCAGUGGCGCCAUCACGGCUCACUGCAGCCUCAAACUCCCAGACUCAAGGGAUCCUCCCACCUCAGCCUCCCAAGUAGCUGGGACUACAGGUGUACACCACCAUGCCUAGCUAAUUUUUUGUAGAGAUGGGCUUUUGCCAUGUUGCCCAGGUUGGUCUUACACUCCUGGGUUCAAAGUGAUCUGCCCGCUUUGACCUCCCCAAGGUGCUGGGAUUAGAGGCAUGAGCCACAGCACCCAGCACCUUUGUCAACUGUAAAAAUAUUUACAUGAAAGGCUUUACUGAUACUAAACAUGAACCAGACUUCCAGACAAAGUUAUUAUUAGUCUGUUCUUAAACAUGACCUACCUGCCUCUUUCAUAGAGACCAGAUGUCAGGGAGGGGACCUGAGGAUCAAGUAGCAGGCUGCAGACAGACUAGGAGUAACAAGGCAGAAGCCACACCAAGAGCAAAGCCUCAGUUCCCAACCCUGGUGAAACUGCUCCCCUCCAAGACCAGACCAUCCUGACCCUUGCUCUAUCAGCUACCAGUCCUUUCUUGAGCUGGAGGCUGCAUUAUCAAUGCACUGCCACUGAGCUCCUCAGUGUUCUGGGAGACCCUAAUUCCACAGUAUGUGGCAGGGAGGAAGCAGGGAAUGAGGCAAGGGCAGGCAAGGGGAAGGCAGCCUGGCUACUAUUCCUAGUCUCUGUCUGACUUGCAUCUGUCCUUGUUGAGCUAGGGAGGAGGCUUGCUCUUCAGGAGAGAAGCCAAACUACUGAGCAAGACAAGGAGAGAUCUUAAGAUGCUAUGCACUCAGAACUUCGGCAGCCAGGACGGGACUGAAACUCUGACAGACACAAUGGGCCAAUGGGGCAGGACAUAGCUCUCAUGGCUGCCCUCAUAGCCAUGGAAAGCAGGGCAGCAGUACCAGGACCGCCCACUCCCAGGGAGCUGUGAACCAAGUCCUUGUCUUAGUUUCUUUGGGUUCCCAGUAGAGGAUGGGACUCCAGCACCUUUCUGCCUGUCUGGGUUGCUGAGUGGCACCACCUGCAUGUUCAAGUACCAGAGAAAGCAAGAAAGCUAAUUCAGCAGCAGCUCCCGGGGAGAGCCCACUUGGCACAGUCUGUAGAGUCCAGGAAGGAAAACAGGCCACCCUUCCCCCACAAGCAUCAAUGCCUAUGCUAUGUCUUUUGCUUCCUGUGAGACUGUCAGUUAGGGCCCAGUUCAGUGUAGGGCUGAGGCAGCCUGAAUGUGGUUAUUUGUGCAAGCUCCUCUUGCCUCCCCUCCCCACAACUGUUUCCAUUCUCACCAAGCAGCCACGUCCGGGUCAGACACCCAGGACAGCAGCUGGGGCUUUCCAAGGGACUUUUUGAGAAGCUAGUGAAAGUUGGGUGUUGGCUGCACAGCCUGGGCACUUGCUGAAACGCACUUCUUCCAUCCAGGACGUAAGCUCUAGCCUGGCAGGGUUGCUUUCAGGUUGAAAUUGAACAGAAAUCACCACCCACGGAGCUUUCUGUUUGCUGGGCUGGGGAAAUCCUUGAGAAACUCAGUUUGGAGUUGGGGUUAUCUGACCAUUCCCUCAGAGCUUGAAGGCACCAGAGAAAAUGGUUUUGGUUUGAAGACCAUAGUGGACAUGAGCAGCCCGGCCAGUCCCAGUUUCCCUCCCAUAGGCCUAUGUGAGGACAAGGAAGGGGAGUAGACAAACUAAUCAGAGUCAGGUCGCAUCUCUCCUCCUUCCCACACUCUCCAGGCCACAGGUAACAAGCAAAAUCAACUCAAGAGCAACACCAGGUGGCUGAGACACAAAGCCCUAGCACAGGCAGCUCUGCCCUAGCACAGCACAGCUCACCCUGCAGUUGUGGUUCUCAGCAUUUCCCCUACUAUUUUGGCUGAUUGUGCACAUAUUCUAUGUAUUGAAAAAUGGCCCAA
rnacentral:lncRNA from 1 species